UAGAAUCAGAGAUAAAGUUAUAGCUAAAACUAUCAUUCCAUUCGUACGUCAUAUUUGUCUGUGACUAUUAAAUACCGUACAGAAAAGUCACAUAUGUCUGCGUGCACUCUUAAACCGUGAUUGUUUGUGAGUAUAUGUUUUCAGAGACAUCAGAUGAUCCUGUAUCUGUGGAGUUGGAUAAUAGACCUGCUAUUAAAUUGUUUGACACGACUGUCUACAAUCCUUCCCGACAAUAUCUUCUACCUUUAUUUCGGUUAGUUACAUCGACAUGGUUAGUCGGCUGACAUGGUCUGGGAAAUAGCCGUCAUUAAUUAAUAUUCAAAUCGUUCAACAAAACACCACGAAAUACAAAACUGGCUAUUUACCACAACAUCGCGAUUACUCAUCGAUAACUAUAGAAGCAAUUUUGUGUAUGCAGCAAAUCAUAAUCUAAAGUUAGGAACCGUCCAACUAAAGUUGAUGUCAGGACGUUGAAUUCACAGUCCAACUUAUAUAGCCAUUAUAUAACAUACUGACUUAACAGUGAGUAACAAUCAUUUAUAGCGUUUUAUCGAGAAUACUAGAUAUAAACAUUACUAACUGUGUGUGAAAUGAUAAGGACAAGGAAUGUUCUUGUUACAUGUGGAAUAAUUUGUAUAGAAAAGUAUAUUGAUUAAAUAAUU
rnacentral:lncRNA from 1 species